rnacentral:tRNA from 1 species
GCCAACAUAGUUUUGAUCAAAACACUAAGUUGUG